GAUGAACGCUGGCGGCGUGCCUAAUACAUGCAAGUCGAGCGGACGGACGCGACGCUUGCUUCUCUGAUGUUAGCGGCGGACGGGUGAGUCACACGUGGAUAACCUUCCUAUACGACUGGGAUAACUUCGGGAAACCGGAGCUAAUACCGGAUAAUAUUUUUAACCGCAUGGUUCAAAAGUGAAUGACGGUUUUGCUGUCACUUAUAGAUAGAUCCGCGCUGCAUUAGCUAGUUGGUAAGGUAACGGCUUACCAAGGCAACGAUGGAUAGCCGACCUGAGAGGGUGAUCGGGCACACUGGAACUGAGACACGGUCCAGACUCCGACGGGAGGCAGCAGUAGGGAAUCUUGCGCAAUGGGCGAAAGCCUGACGGAGCAACGCCGCGUGAGUGAUGAAGGUCUUCGGAUCGUAAAACUCUGUUAUUAGGGAAGAACAUAUGUGUAAGUAACUGUGCACAUCUUGACGGUACCUAAUCAGAAAGCCACGGCUAACUACGUG
rnacentral:rRNA from 1 species